rnacentral:rRNA from 1 species
AGCGAACGCUGGCGGCAGGCCUAACACAUGCAAGUCGAACGAACCUUUCGGGGUUAGUGGCGGACGGGUGAGUAACACGUGGGAACGUGCCUUUAGGUUCGGAAUAACUCAGGGAAACUUGUGCUAAUACCGAAUGUGCCCUUCGGGGGAAAGAUUUAUCGCCUUUAGAGCGGCCCGCGUCUGAUUAGCUAGUUGGUUGAGGUAAUGGCUCACCAAGGCGACGAUCAGUAGCUGGUCUGAGAGGAUGAUCAGCCACAUUGGGACUGAGACACGGCCCAAACUCCUACGGGAGGCAGCAGUGGGGAAUCUUGCGCAAUGGGCGAAAGCCUGACGCAGCCACGCCGCGUGAAUGAUGAAGGUCUUAGGAUUGUAAAAUUCUUUCACCGGGGACGAUAAUGACGGUACCCGGAGAAGAAGCCCCGGCUAACUUCGUG